GUCAGCCAAUUUGUUUAAAAAGAAGUAUCUAGAUUUUAAAAUUAAGUUAUCUAAUAAACGGAUUUAUUUCUCAGGCCGAGAUUUACUAAGAAUACUUUUUGUACAAGAAAAGAUUGGAUAGUUUUUUAUUAGAACUUGAUUAUACAGAGGUAAAAAAACACUCAGCCUCCCUCCCCGCGCCGCCCGUCGGCCGGUAUAGGCCAAUCGUUGUACCUAAAUAUUCAUAACUGUGUUUCGUGCGGGUGACGCUACAAGUGUAUUUAGGACAGAUAAAGAGUUUAUUCAGUUUAUGCGGUGUCGUUUUGUUGUCGUAUUUUAUUGAAGUGUAAAAAUGGGAAGACUAUUAACAGCAAAGCGAUAUACAAGUAGAUCUAAUAAUAUGCUUAAAAGAAUUAAACGAUUAGAAACGUUAUUAAAAUCAAGUCAACCAGUGCAUCGUUUUCGUCGUCUCAGUGCCGAACAGUCAGGAAUGCAAGUUGAAUAUUUAGAAGUUUCAGACCCUGAAGAUCUACUUCCAUUGGCAACUUUGGCCACAGAUGUUUCGCCUCAGAAUAAUGAAGAGGUUUUACAAUGCCUAGGUGAUGAUCCAAGUAAACCAGUUUCUGAUCAAUUACAGUUUCAUCCAGAGUUAGCAUCUAGAUGGAAUAUUUGGUUAGCUCAAGGCAUAUCACCAGAAUUAAAGGGUACCUUAAUAGAGAAAUACCCAUUGCAGGGCAGUUGCAACCUAGAACCACCAAAAUUAAAUCUAGAAAUUAGUUCAUCUUUAAGUGAGUCGGCUAAAAAACAGGUCAUUUAUCAUAUGUCAUAGGUCAUUUUAUAGACACUCAAAAGCUGUUAGGUACAGCCAUGGCUCCUUUAGGUUUGGUGAUUUCCGAACUUUUACAUAACAAGGAGGACGGGGUGGACAGAUUAGAUAUGUUGGAGAAGUUAUGCGAUACUGCCAAAGUAUUGGCGGAAAUAUUCCAUUCACAGUAAGUGGCUCGAAAAGCUUUUAUUUCUCCUGGGUUGGAUAAAAAUGUCCAAAAAAUCCUGGACUCACAAUAUAAUUGGAACUUACUUAUUUGGUGAAAAUUUAACACAAAAGAUUGAUGAAGCGAAGGCAAUCCAAAAAGCAAGUCUUGCCCUAAAACCGAGUUUUUCUCAAAAAACUACAAAUUACAACUCCAAAAAACAAAAUAGUCAAAAUAGCAGGAUGUUAAACUGGCGGAGCCCACCUGCACGGUAUACAAAUUACCAACAGGUGGGCCCCAAACCACAAUCGCGAACUCAGCAGCCGAGAGCAGUAAGAAGCAUCAGACCAUCAACAUAUCCAAGAAGUCAACACGGCCGAUUCCAGCAACAGCAGAGCAGAAGACAGUAAUAGAAGGGAUUCAGGACAAUAUGCCACGAGGGAUAUUUUCGAACUUGGACAAUAUUCGAACGAGGCUUUCAUAUAAUUAUGAUCGAACUUCACUUAAGUAUGCAGUCAGAUUUAUAUGCACCAUCUGUGGAGGGGGUUGUUCUGCUGCAUCGCCCGAAAAGUAUGCAGAGUAUAUGAUUACCGUUGCACCGGAAAAGACGUGAGCCGCUAUGCUGCUGCAGAGAUCUGAGAGAAUAAAAUGGUCAUGUUGCGUCUGAUAAGCAUACACAACCUGGGAUUAUUGCUAAUGGGGGGUUCGAUUACUUUACCAGUGGUUAUACCUAGUCAGUUUACCCCAGGUGAACGUCUUGUCUUUCAGAUCUUCAGCUGUCCGCUCUGGGGACGCCUUAGUCUUCGAAGGAAACCGCACCUAGCUGAAGCCAAAGAACAGUUUAAAGUCCUUCUUUAACCCUUCCUAUUAACCUCAGCAAGUCUCCAUGCAAAUCAUCCACAGCAAAAGAAACACAGCUAAGAAAUAUCACCACUCUUACAAUACGUAAUGAAAAAAAAUCAUAUUUCAACUUACAAUUAACUGCUACAAAAGAUGUUUGGUCUUCAAUAAAAUUACUUAACCUAAAAAAUUAAUAAAACAGAAAUGAUAUUCCUAAAAAUCUCGAAAAUGUCAAAAAAAAAUCAGGUUUUUAUUAACUCUGUUCAAAAAAUUUAAAUAAAAAUACUCUAAAUUAUUAUAAAAGUGUUAAAAUAACUUAUUUCAAACGAGUUUUAGGUUUUUGGCCGUGUCGGAGUAUGAUAGUAUAAACGCUACUAAUAACAUUAAAUCUACUGCCAUGGGCAUUGAGGAAAUUAAUAUACUUACUUACUAAUAUACUUACUUUUUCUACUACCUUAUAUUGCCCAUGUCAUUAACUUCUGUCUCGAAAAUUUUGUUUUUCCUUCAAUAUGGAAUAGAGCGAAAGUUAGCCAUUUACCAAGACGUUAAAUCCACUUACAUUAAGCGACCUGAGACCAAUAAGCAUUCUUCCAACUCUAUCAAAAAUAUUAGAAAAAGUAAUGGAAAUGCAGCUUCAGAAAUAUGUUAAAGAAAACUCAAUUUUACCAGUGUCACAAUUAGGGUUUAGAUCGCACCACAGCUGUUGUACGGCAUUGGCUAUGAUGUUUUAAUGAUAUUUUAUUAGCAUUUGAUUUCAUUAAACUAACAUUACUAAUAAUGCUUGAUUAUAUCAAGGCUUUUGAUACUCUGAGCCAUGAUUUUUUAAUAAAUAUUAUAUCAUUUGUUGGUUUAGGGGAGGAAGCGUGCACGUUGAUUGCUAAUUAUCUUGGAGAUAGAUCAAGCUAUUUCUUAUAGUGGGGUAGAUUCUGGUCUUUUAGAGAUUUCUUCUGGCGUGCCCCAGGGCUCCAUCCUUGGGCCAAUCCUUUUUUCAAUUUAUGUAUCAAAUAUGGCAAUAAUGUUUAUAUCAUAUAAGCAGCACUAUUAUACUAAUGAUACUCAAAUAUGUCUCUCAUUUGAAUUAGGUUAAAGUUUCUAAGCAGCAGCUGCCAUUAAUUAUGACCUUGCUAAUUUAUGAGUUUUCUAAAAAUCAUUGCUUAUAAUAAAAUUCUAUUAAAUCAGCAUUUAUGUAUGCUGUUUGGAGGCAAGGGUAGCCGUAAGAAUUUUUUACAGUAUUAUAGGAACUUCAAAUCAAUAACGAGCCUAUAAAACACGUUGAGCACUGCAAAAGCUUGGGUUUGAUUCUGAAUAGUGACCUGCGAGUCACGCAGCAUGUAAUAUCAUGUAUUCAAAAAGGAUUUUUAAGCCUUGAAAAUAUUUAUCCACAUCGCUACGUCUUAAAUAGAAAAACAAAAAUUCUACUCUGUGAUUCGCUUGUCCUAUCACAGGAUAAUCAUUGCGAUGCAGUGUAUGGUUCAUGCUUAAGAACUUCUGAAGGAAGUAAAAUUCAGAAACUUCAAAAUGCGCGCCUUAGAUUAAUAAAUGGUAUAAGGAAGCGCAAUCCCAUAAAACACAAGCUUAAGGAAACCAGAUUUUGGAUGACUAUGCACAACAGAAGGAUUUUUCGCGCAUCUUCAAUGUUUUUUAAAAUAAUUAAUUUACGAUCCCCACCUCUCUUAUAUAAUAAAAUAAAAUUUUGCACAAUGUUCACAAGAUUAAUACCCGGUAUAAAGGAAGGUACACCUCCGCUUCACUCAACCGAAACUUAUAGAAGAUAAUUUUCUUAACAAAUUUCAAAAUUUGUAAAUAGCUGCCAAAGUAAUACCAAAAACAUUUUUAGCUUAUAUUCUUUUAAAAAAUAAAUUUAUAAAAAAUUACUGCAGGAACAAUAAAGCAUAACUUAGUAGGUGUUUCGUUUUUUUUACUUCUUUUUUCUAUUACGAUGAUGAUAACAAAAACAAUUAAUGCAAUAGACUAUAUUAUAAUAUUCAUACAUAUAACAGACUGUUUUUUUUGCUUUAUGAUUUUUUUGUAUUUUGUUUGUGGGGUU